UGGUCAAGUUAUUAAGGGUGCAGGGCGGAUGCCUUGGCACUAGGAGCCGAUGAAGGACGUGAUAAGCUGCGAUAAGCUUCGGGGAGUUGCACGUAAACUUUGAUCCGAAGAUUUCCGAAUGAGGAAACUCACUUAGAGUAAUGUCUAAGUAUCAUUAAGUGAAUACAUAGCUUAAUGAGGGGAACUCAGGGAACUGAAACAUCUAAGUACCUGAAGGAAGAGAAAGAAAUUCGAUUCCGUAAGUAGCGGCGAG
rnacentral:rRNA from 1 species